rnacentral:lncRNA from 1 species
AAAAAUAAAAAUAAAAUAAAAAUUAUUGUAUAAAAAUAAAAAUAAAAAUCCUUAAAUAAAAAGCUAAAUAUCUUAUUUAUCUUUAUAAUCUAUAACAAUAUAUAAAUAGAAUAUUUUCUUGUGGUGUAGUCUAUUUUUUUAAACCAUUUUUACCCUUAUUUUAUUGUGUAAUUUACCUAAUAACUUUCAAUAAAACCACUAUUAUUAACUUCCACGUAAC